GAGCAAUGAAGAGAAAUGCGCUCUUGUGUUGGCUAGGGUCCAUCACUCUAUCUGAUCCAACGAUUAGAAUUUGCGAACCUGAGCUC
rfam:Gossypium raimondii chromosome 7, whole genome shotgun sequence.